rnacentral:rRNA from 1 species
CGGUUGAUCCUGCCGGACCCUACUGCUAUCGGGGUAGGACUAAAACAUGCGAGUCGAGCGUCUCCCAACAUUUGUGGAGGCGCGGCGUACGGCUCAGUAACACGUGGCUAACCUACCCUUGGGACGGAGACACCCCCGGGAAACUGGGGCUAAUCUCCGAUAGGCGAAGACGCCUGGAAUGGGUCUUCGCCGAAAGGGCGUUAGAGGCAUGCUCUCUAACGCCGCCCAAGGAUGGGGCCGCGUCCGAUCAGGUUGUUGGUGAGGUAACGGCUCACCAAACCUAUAACCGGUACGGGCCGUGAGAGCGGGAGCCCGGAGAUGGGCACUGAGAUAAGGGCCCAGGCCCUACGGGGCGCAGCAGUUGCGAAAACUCGCCAAUGCACGAAAGUGUGAGCGGGCUACCCCGAGUGCCGUCCGCUGAGGACGGCUUUUCCCUGCUGUAAGGAAGCAGAGGAAUAAGGAGAGGGCAAGACUGGUGUCAGCCGCCGCGGUAAUACCAGCUCUCCGAGUGGUAGGGGUGAUUAUUGGGCUUAAAGCGCCCGUAGCCGGCCUAACAAGUCCUCCGUUAAAUCCAACAACCUAAUUGUUGGGCUGCGGAGGAUACUGUUAGGCUAGAGGGCGGUAGAAGCCGACGGUAUUCCCGGGGUAGGGGUGAAAUCCUAUAAUCCCGGGAAGACCACCAGUGGCGAAGGCUGUCGGCUAGAACGCGCCUGACGGUGAGGGACGAAAGCUGGGGGAGCGAACCGGAUUAGAUACCCGGGUAGUCCCAGCUGUAAACGAUGCGGGCUAGGUGUUGAAGCGGCUACGAGCCGCUUCAGUGCCGCAGCGAAAGCGUUAAGCCCGCCGCCUGGGGAGUACGGCCGCAAGGCUGAAACUUAAAGGAAUUGGCGGGGGAGCAC